UGGGGAAUAUUGGACAAUGGGCGAAAGCCUGAUCCAGCCAUGCCGCGUGUGUGAAGAAGGUCUUCGGAUUGUAAAGCACUUUAAGUUGGGAGGAAGGGCAGUAAGCUAAUACCUUGCUGUUUUGACGUUACCGACAGAAUAAGCACCGGCUAACUCUGUGCCAGCAGCCGCGGUAAUACAGAGGGUGCAAGCGUUAAUCGGAAUUACUGGGCGUAAAGCGCGCGUAGGUGGAUUGUUAAGUUGGAUGUGAAAGCCCCGGGCUCAACCUGGGAACUGCAUCCAAAACUGGCAAGCUAGAGUACGGAAGAGGGUGGUGGAAUUUCCUGUGUAGCGGUGAAAUGCGUAGAUAUAGGAAGGAACACCAGUGGCGAAGGCGACCACCUGGACUGAUACUGACACUGAGGUGCGAAAGCGUGGGGAGCAAACA
rnacentral:rRNA from 1 species